AGGAUGAACGCUGGCGGUCUGCUUAACACAUGCAAGUCGAACGGAGUACCUCGGUACUUAGUGGCGGACGGGUGAGUAACGCGUGAGAAUCUGCCCUUAGGUCGGGGACAACCAUUGGAAACGAUGGCUAAUACCGGAUAAGCCGAGAGGUAAAAGAUUAAUUGCCUAGGGAAGAGCUCGCGUCUGAUUAGCUAGUUGGUGAGGUAAAGGCUCACCAAGGCAUCGAUCAGUAGCUGGUCUGAGAGGAUGAUCAGCCACACUGGGACUGAGACACGGCCCAGACUCCUACGGGAGGCAGCAGUGGGGAAUUUUCCGCAAUGGGCGAAAGCCUGACGGAGCAAGACCGCGUGAGGGAGGAAGGCUCUUGGGUUGUAAACCUCUUUUCUUGGGGAAGAACAAAAUGACGGUACCAAGGAAUCAGCAUCGGCUAACUCCGUGCCAGCAGCCGC
rnacentral:rRNA from 1 species